rnacentral:rRNA from 1 species
UCUGGCUCAGGACGAACGCUGGCGGCGUGCCUAAUACAUGCAAGUCGAGCGAGCUUGCCUAGAUGAUUUUAGUGCUCGCACUAAAUGAAACUAGAUACAAGCGAGCGGCGGACGGGUGAGUAACACGUGGGUAACCUGCCCAAGAGACUGGGAUAACACCUGGGAACAGAUGCUAAUACCGGAUAACAACACUAGACGCAUGUCUAGAGUUUGAAAGAUGGUUCUGCUAUCACUCUUGGAUGGACCUGCGGUGCAUUAGCUAGUUGGUAAGGUAACGGCUUACCAAGGCAAUGAUGCAUAGCCGAGUUGAGAGACUGAUCGGCCACAUUGGGACUGAGACACGGCCCAAACUCCUACGGGAGGCAGCAGUAGGGAAUCUUCCACAAUAGACGAAAGUCUGAUGGAGCAACGCCGCGUGAGUGAAGAAGGGUUUCGGCUCGUAAAGCUCUGUUGGUAGUGAAGAAAGAUAGAGGCAGUAACUGGCCUUUAUUUGACGGUAAUUACUUAGAAAGUCACGGCUAACUACGUGCCAGCAGCCGCGGUAAUACGUAGGUGGCAAGCGUUGUCCGGAUUUAUUGGGCGUAAAGCGAGUGCAGGCGGUUCAAUAAGUCUGAUGUGAAAGCCUUCGGCUCAACCGGAGAGUUGCAUCAGAAACUGUUGGACCUGAGUGCAGAAGAGGAGAGUGGAACUCCAUGUGUAGCGGUGGAAUGCGUAGAUAUAUGGAAGAACACCAGUGGCGAAGGCGGCUCUCUGGUCUGCAACUGACGCUGAGGCUCGAAAGCAUGGGUAGCGAACAGGAUUAGAUACCCUGGUAGUCCAUGCCGUAAACGAUGAGUGCUAAGUGUUGGGAGGUUUCCGCCUCUCAGUGCUGCAGCUAACGCAUCAAGCACUCCGCCUGGGGAGUACGACCGCAAGGUUGCAACUCAAAUGAAUUGACGGA